GACGUCAAAGGAGCCCAGACACACAUACAUACACACCACACACACUCACACACACACUCACUCACACACACUCUCACACACACUCACACUGACGGAGAGGAGAGGACAGCCAGCCAGACUGACAAUUCCCAGCGGUCUACUGAAGGAAGUCUAAAUAUUCAUCCGCUACAAGACCUCCUUUUAGCCAAGCCCGUAAGAGUUUUUUUUUUUUUUUUUUUUUUUUUUUUAAUAUCGGAUUAUUUACAAAAAAAAAAAAAAAAAAAUAGAGAGAGAAAAGAGAAUAUCCCAGGGAAAGAGUAGUGGGAAUAAACCCAAAAAGCGGAGCUCCCUCGGUCGCCACGCUGAUGCCGGAUAAAGGAGCGUCGCUGGAUGGUACUUGUGUUGUUUUAGGGGGCGUGCGGGCCUAACUUGUUACAGGAUUCAGAGACACAGAUGAACUGAUGAGAAACUGAGAAACUGAGCUGUGGUAACUAAACAUCACCGGGGGAGAGAAGAACACACGCAUCCAGCGAUCAGCGCCCAUUCCGUCCCGCGACCAGCACCACAGACUUCUCAAUGAAGGAGCCUGAUGCAAUCAAGCUCUUCAUAGGGCAAAUACCCCGAAACCUGGAGGAGAAGGACUUGAAGCCCAUCUUUGAGCAGUUUGGCAAGAUCUAUGAGUUGACGGUGAUAAAAGACAAAUACACAGGGAUGCACAAAGGUUGUGCCUUCCUCACAUACUGCGCACGUGAGUCGGCCCUGAAAGCCCAGAAUGCACUGCACGAGCAGAAGACCCUACCCGGGAUGAACCGCCCAAUCCAGGUGAAGCCAGCAGACAGCGAGAGCAGAGGAGAAGACAGGAAGCUGUUUGUGGGUAUGCUGGGGAAACAGCAGACGGACACGGAUGUGAGGAAAAUGUUUGAGCCGUUCGGCAGCAUAGAGGAGUGCACGGUGCUCCGUGGGCCUGAUGGGAACAGCAAAGGGUGUGCAUUUGUAAAGUUCCAGAGCAACGCAGAGGCCCAGGCUGCCAUCAACGCUCUGCAUGGGAGUCGCACUUUACCUGGUGCCUCCUCCAGCCUGGUGGUUAAGUUUGCAGAUUCGGAGAAGGAGCGAGGUCUGAGGCGAAUGCAGCAGGUGGCCUCUCAGCUGGGAGUCAUCAGUCCUAUGACCCUGCACCUCGGGGCCUACAACGCCUACACGCAGGCUCUGAUGCAGCAGCAGGCCCUGGUGGCUCAGUCGGCCUACCUUUCUCCUGUUGCCACGGUAGCAGCAGUUCAGAUGCAGCAGCUCGCCGCCCUCAACCCCAGCAGCAUUAUUGCCACGCCAAUUGCAUCCAUCACCCCGUCCUCAGAACACUUUCUUGGAAAAUUGAUUGCAGGUACCAGCACUCCUCCCUCCAUCGCAGCCACACCUGUCCCCGCUCUGCCUCCGCCCAUCGCCGUCAACAGCUACCCCUCCGUGCCAGCGCCCCCUAACGGCCAAUCAGCCACAGAAGCCCUGUACACUAACGGGGUUCACACCUAUCAAGCUCAGAGUCCCAUCCUGGACCCCCUGCAGCAAGCAUACACAGGCAUGCAGCACUAUACAGCCACCUACCCGGCUGCCUACAGCCUGGUGGGACAGCCGUUUCCCCACCAGCCCACGCUGGUGGCCCAGCAGCCGCAGCAGCCGCAGCAGCUCCAGCAGAGAGAAGGUCCAGAGGGGUGUAACAUCUUCAUAUACCACCUGCCGCAGGAGUUCACGGACUCAGAGAUCCUGCAGAUGUUCCUGCCCUUUGGAAAUGUCAUCUCUGCAAAAGUCUUUGUGGACCGCGCCACCAACCAGAGCAAAUGCUUUGGGUUUGUGAGCUUUGACAACCCGUCCAGCGCCCAGACGGCCAUUCAGGCCAUGAACGGCUUCCAGAUCGGCAUGAAGAGGCUGAAGGUGCAGCUGAAGAGGCCUAAGGAUGCGAACAGGCCUUACUGAAGGAGAAGGCUGUACCGUCCAUACAUAUAUGGGGAGACUGCGUCGCUAUGGCUACGGUUGCCUAGCAACCGCUUAAACCUCCCCCCCUACCUCCUCAGCGCGUUGAAAACCUAAGAAUUCAAUCAAGAAAACCACUCGGGAUGUCCCAGCCUUUUUUUUUGGUUGUCUGACCAACCGUAUAGCACAGGAGCAACACUUCGCAAAAGCAGUAUCCCCAUGCGCGUGCUUACAAAAACUACAACACCAACAACAACUGCAGUAAUGUCAGCAAAAAAGAGAAAAAAGAUCACAAUAAUCAUUGACAUAGUCAACGUUCACAGUAUCAGAAGUGCUCCAAAGUUCCUAUCAUUCCACUGCUGGAUUCAUUUAUAUUAUGUACAUACUCUAUUGUUGGCAACAAGAUAUUCCUGUUAAGAAAAAGCAUAUCACUGAUGUUAUUCUACUGAACAGGGUUCUACUUUAUGGUGUGAUUUGUGGUCUAUGGCGUUAACAGAAGGCCAGUCUACGCAGCCGGAGGCAAAAGAAAAUACUAUUCUGUAAGAAAACCAUUGGUAAUAUUGUUAUGUAGAGUUAGUUUUAUUAUUUAUACAUAAAUUAAAAACAUGGAGUGAAUAAAAAGGAAAGAAAUGGAUCUCCUCUCAUUGUACAUACCUUUGUUUUAAAAAUGGAUGGACUUAAAAACUUAGAAUUAACAUUCUCUGCUGCCACUACUUUUAAAAAUUAACAAAGUGGAAGGAAGGGCUGGGAAUUUUUCUAUCUUGAUUCUUUUUUUUUUUUUUUUUUUUACGUUUUAAUUUAUCUGGUAAUAAAUUUGAUGGAUGGAGAGAGGGGGACAAUUUCUUUUUUAAUUUAAGAAGAAAAAAAAGAAGAUUCCUGUGGUCUUCAAGAUAAUGGACAUGCAUAUUAUAAAGUUUUUAAUUGCAUAAAUGUACCUAUGGAAUUAAAACAAACAAAAAAAAACAUGUUUCUUUAUUUAUUCUCUACA